GGACUCGUGUUCGAGACUCCUCACCGGGGGUGAUUAAUGCACAUUUCACACUAGGCUCGAGUGGUGUAGUUUGUGGGAUGCGGGGACACACUCGGGGUGGGCGGCCCAUGUGAUUUGGGGCUCACGAAGGUGGUUCGGACAAGGUCCUAACCCAUGCGAUGUGGGGCUCGGGCUAUGAGAUAAAGGGAUUAAUUCGCCAUACUCUAAUAGUUCGAGCUUUUAGAGCAAGUGGUUAAUUGUCCUGCAUCAUAAGUGCAUGAGAUCCACCCUGUCUAUCGGGUACAACACCUCUUUAGCUCUUGAUCUCAAAUCAGGCUGAUUCAACACUUAGGUGGGCCACCCCAUAGGUAAUAAUGCCUCUAAGUUCACGUGUUAUGGACCACCUUAUUUUUGGAAUAGCAUGGUUUUUGGUGAAUGCUUUCAUCCUGUCGAGGCAAGUUAGAUGAAUGGAUUGGAUGAAAUAUGUACAGCACUGUGGGCCCUGCACAAAACCAGUGGUGGGCAUUCCAUACCAACUCUUUCCUAUGGUGUGGCCUAACCUAAGUUUUGGUUUGUCAGGAUUUUGGGUUCCAAUCUGAAUGAGCGGCAGCAUACCUGAUGAACAGGUUGGAUCUAAUGAAAGUUCAACCCAUGUGGUGGUAGGUACGCUCCCCGCGUACCUAUUGGUGAUCAGGCUAGCGCAGCUCAUCCUUAUAUGCACGUCACUGUUCACCAAUGUUACAUGUAGCACACGUGUAAACAGGAGUACAAAACACAAUAUACAAGAUCUGGGCCACUCAUUAGGCAGGUCCCUCCAUGGAUGUCACCUGAUCCAAAAAUCAGAGGGCUGGAUUAUCGUAACUGUUGGAUUUGAGGAACCAUAUGAAAGCAUAAAAAAGUUGAUGAAAGGUCCAUAUGCAAUGCUUAUUCUGCUGUCUGAAAUGUUAAAGUGAUGUGAUAUUUGGACCAGAUCACAUGUGAUGGGCAACUGGAUGAGCACCUCUGGUAUCGUACACAAGUACACCCUUCAGUGCCUUCACCCACUCUCCGUACAUAAUGUUGGUGGAUGUGCCAGUAAGAUUAGUGCCCCAUACAGUUAUGAUGGUUAAGGAUGUCAAAAUGUGAUGUUAAUGGAUCUCCCAAACAAGAUCCUAGCUUACACCAAAGAUGGGUACUCGGGCAGUAUGACUAGGUUAACACACUUGUACAGACUUCUAAAGAAACUAGACAGCCCUUGAUCUUUUACAGCGCCCCAGAUAUCAAUGAAGGAGACUUCUCAACUGCAAAGACUGCUUCAAGAGAUAUCUAAAUAAAUAUCAUUCUACUCAAACAAUAAAAAGGCAGGAUUACAGCCAGUGUUUAAAUAGCUAUGCUAUGUAGCGUGUAGCUUAUGCUACGUAGCAUAGCAUUGCCUUAACGCUAUCCUACGCUACAUCAUAAUUUGCAUGCGCUACACGUUAUGUAGACUACGCUACCCGCUAUGUAGCUCACAUGAUGUUUUCAAUGAUUUGUUACAUUUUUCCAUUUCCAAUAAAAAUUAGUUAACAUUUUUAAUGCUUUCAGUAAAAUAAUCUAAAUAACAAUAUUAAAUCAGUUUCAUUGCUCUUUCUUUGCCUUUAUACUUAAUCAUUUCCCUUUCCUAUUACUUUAGGUUGCAUUUUAUUGCACCAAAUAUCAUGAAAUUUUGUUAAAUUUCAUUAUUAAUCAGUCUAAUCUGGUAUAGAAUAUCAUGACAUUGGUGCAACCAAGCACCUUGAUUAAAAAUCCAGAAGUUGUGUAGCUUACGCUACAUGCUAUGUAGGUUACGCUUCAUGCUUCAAAGGGGUGAACGCUAUGCUACAUGCUAUUCACUAUUUAAAACACUGAUUACAGCUACUUGAGUGCUCAAAUGAUAAAAAGACUGAACACAGUUGCUCCUUGGUAACCUUUGGACAAAAUUCACUACUGUUCUCAUGGCAAGUAGGCUUGUAAAUGCCAAGUUUCUAGCAGUUCUUGGGUCAUUGGAGUUACCAGCAAAAGUAUAUUUUGGUGCUUUUCCCUACAUCUUUGUAAUAGUUUCCUGCUAUCAAGGACAUCUUUUCCUGGCAUGUAGCUAACUUUCAUAUACUCAUC